ensembl:lncRNA LINC01102 long intergenic non-protein coding RNA 1102
GAAUCCCCACUGGCCAGGAGUCAGAGAACCAAGCAGGGACAAGAACACUGUAGGAGAAUCUGGCCCCAUUUAAUCCGCAGUACCCUGCCAGAAAAAGAAGGAGAGGCUGAUCCCCAGUAAGAGGGAACAGAGUGGCACCCACAAAUACGGAAUGAAGACAUUUGGAGAAGAAGCGUUUACUGAAAGGAGAUUCCUGGGCUGGAGGAAAACCAUGAUCUACAGUUCAUGUUGACAGAUAUUGUAUUUUUGGUCCUAGAUCUGACUUUUGAAAUGACUUAUCACAAAUUCAAAUUUAGCAAUCAUGAGUGAAGUACCCACGAUGUGCUAAGCAUCUACCUCUGCAGAUAGAAGAACACUUACUGUUCCUGAGCAUGGGAGGGAAUAGAAGUUCCUGGGUCCUGGCCUCACCUCAUCAGGCACUGCCAAAUUUGACACCUCCUUCCUGUUCACGGCAGUCCUUUGCGAUAGGGUAUUAGAUGCCACCAAGUAGCUGCAUAACUCACCCAUUUGGUCAGAGCCUGGGUCUAAGCCAGGUCUGACAGACUCCAAAGCAAGCCCUGUUUACAGCAUGACUGGGAUCCAGUGGGUAAGACCAACCUGUCAAUGCCCAAGUGCAGAUGCAAUAAUAGUGCUUCAACUGAUUGUUGCAAACCCCUCAUGAGGGAUGCCAAAUCCCAGUGCAGAUGGUAACACAGGCUAUUUUUCACCUCCAAC